UGAGGAAUAUUGGUCAAUGGACGGAAGUCUGAACCAGCCAUCCCGCGUGCAGGAAGAAGGCGCUAUGCGUUGUAAACUGCUUUUCCAGGGGAAGAAAACCUGCUACGUGUAGUGGUUUGCCGGUACCCUGGGAAUAAGCAUCGGCUAACUCCGUGCCAGCAGCCGCGGUAAUACGGAGGAUGCGAGCGUUAUCCGGAUUUAUUGGGUUUAAAGGGUGCGUAGGCGGACCGAUAAGUCAGUGGUGAAAACCUGCAGCUUAACUGUAGAACUGCCAUUGAUACUGUCGGACUUGAGUAUGGUCAAGGUAGGCGGAAUGUGUAAUGUAGCGGUGAAAUGCUUAGAUAUUACACAGAACACCGAUUGCGAAGGCAGCUUGCUGGACCAUUACUGACGCUGAUGCACGAAAGCGUGGGGAGCAAACAGG
rnacentral:rRNA from 1 species